UACGAAGGGUGCAAGCGUUAAUCGGAAUUACUGGGCGUAAAGCGCGCGUAGGCGGUUUGGUAAGUGUGAUGUGAAAGCCCAGGGCUUAACCUUGGAAUUGCCUCACAUACUGCCAGGCUAGAGUACGAGAGAGGGGGGUAGAAUUCCACGUGUAGCGGUGAAAUGCGUAGAGACGUGGAGGAAUACCAGUGGCGAAGGCGGCCCCCUGGAUCGAUACUGACGCUGAGGUGCGAAAGCGUGGGGAGCAAACAGG
rnacentral:misc_RNA from 1 species